AUGAAGUCAGUGAGACGAUCACAACUAUUUAAGGCAUUACUGGUUCCAUCGAGUUUGCUCAUCGUCCUGCUUCAUCUGGGUGUUCAAAGCACUGAGAGGGAUGUGAACCCUGGUGCCCUUGCUAAUAUCUUCAAGUAUUUUGCUGACAAUGUCCAGCCAAAAACCACAAAGCAAAAAGAUGCUCAGUAUGCAAUAGCAAUCUCUGUUCUACGUGCUCAGUGUACAGACGUACAUGCUGAUAUCCAGAAUGUGUUCAGCAAUAAAGAUGCAAAACAUGUCAGAGAUGAGCUCAAUAAAGGACAGAAAUGUUAACUCUGCACAGACUCACGCAACGUCAUUGCUGCAAGGCCAAAUCUUACCACAAAUGAACAUUCUGAGCAUGUUCUGCUCUAUCCUUUAGGUGAAUCUCCCAUGGACAAACUUCUAGAGCAGGCAGAUCAGAGUAGCUGUGUAGUUUUCUAUUCUUACAACUCUCCUUGUGUGAAAACAUGCAUGCAUGGGGAAGACAAUAUUUUUAAUGGUCUUUUAAACUGGAUAAACACAAGAAAAAAAGGAAUGCAUGCAUUUGUCUUCGAAGAGAUCUGGCAGAAGGACAGAAAGAAGAAUCUGACAGAAGAAUUUCUAAAGAUUAAUGCGGUAGUGCCUCUUUAUCGGUGUAAGAGAACCAGUGAUGAAAUGGAAUGUUGGAAAUGCGUUGAAAACAACAAUGUGGUUACUGUCUGUUUGAAAAUAAAUAAGUAAUUUUCCUUUUCUAGAAAAUGCUUAUGUCAGUGAU
ensembl:lncRNA